rfam:Brachypodium distachyon strain Bd21 chromosome 3, whole genome shotgun sequence.
AUAAUACUCUCUCCGUCCAACAAAAGAUGUCUUAAUUUUGUCAAAUUUGAAUUUAUCUAGAUGUGACUUAGUGUAUAAAUGCAUUUAAAUUUAGUCAAAGUUGAGACAUUCUUUGUUGGACGGAGGGAGUAGGUC